AUACGAAAGGUGCAAGCGUUGUUCGGAUUUACUGGGCGUAAAGAGAGUGUAGGUGGUUUAUUAAGUCGGAUGUGAAAUCCCGGGGCUCAACCUCGGAACUGCAUUCGAUACUGAUAGGCUAGAGUUUGGGAGGGGUAUGCGGAAUUCCGUGUGUAGCAGUGAAAUGCGUAGAUAUACGGAGGAACACCUGAGGCGAAGGCGGCUUACUGGACCAAUACUGACACUGAGACUCGAAAGCGUGGGUAGCAAACAGGAAUAGAAACCCUAGUAGUCC
rnacentral:rRNA from 1 species